AUUAAAGUAGGCAUGCAUUCAAAAACAAUUCUAAAACCCAUGACUUUCAAAGCCUAGUGAAUGGUGAACCAUAAGACUCUUUAACAACAUUAAAGAGAAGGUAAGAUUUAGAGAUUUAUUACCUUUGAAGCUCAUCCUUGUUUACACAAGGGAUUCACCCAAGUGGAGAGCCUUCAAGUCACCUCCUAGUUCCUUGGAUCUUCCUUGUGAUUUCCUUCCCUUUUGUGCUCCUUUGCUCCUUGAGGAUGUAAGGAAAGGAUCUCCAAAAACACCAAAGGUUUGGUGUCUCUAAGUCUCCACACCAAGGAUGAGGUGUGCAGAUGAAAUGGAUGACUUAGAGAAGAAAAGAUUGCUAGCUAAAUCCUCUCUAAGUGGCCGGCCUCCUUGUAGAGAAAAGAGAGAAAAUGUUUCACCUCUUUGCCUCAAAGAAAACCCUAAAUGAAAAUAAAGCUAUAAAGUUGAAUUUAUACUUCAUCACAUGUGAGUGGCAAACUUGUA
rnacentral:lncRNA from 1 species